GGUUAAGCGAAUAAGCGUACACGGUGGAUGCCUAGGCAAUCAGAGGCGAUGAAGGACGUGCUAAUCUGCGAAAAGCGUCGGUAAGGUGAUAUGAACCGUUAUACCCGACGAUAUCCGAAUGGGGAAACCCAGUAUCCAAUGGAUACUAUCAUUAACUGAAUCCAUAGGUUAAUGAGGCGAACCGGGAGAACUGAAACAUCUCAGUACCCCGAGGAAAAGAAAUCAACCGAGAUUCCCCUAGUAGCGGCGAGCGAACGGGGAGCAGCCCAGAGUCUUAAUCAAUAACAGUGUCAGGAGAACGGUCUGGAAAGUCCGGCAGUAAAGGGUGAUAGCCCCGUAUCUGAAGAUGCUGUUAUUGUGAACUCGACGAGUAGGGCGGGACACGUGUUAUCCUGUCUGAAUAUGGGGGGACCAUCCUCCAAGGCUAAAUACUCCUGAUUGACCGAUAGUGAACCAGUACCGUGAGGGAAAGGCGAAAAGAACCCCGGCGAGGGGAGUGAAAAAGAACCUGAAACCGUGUACGUACAAGCAGUAGGAGCCUCUUUAUGGGGUGACUGCGUACCUUUUGUAUAAUGGGUCAGCGACUUAUAUUCUGUAGCAAGGUUAACCGUAUAGGGGAGCCGUAGGGAAACCGAGUCUUAACUGGGCGAAUGAGUUGCAGGGUAUAGACCCGAAACCCGGUGAUCUAUCCAUGGGCAGGUUGAAGGUUGGGUAACACUAACUGGAGGACCGAACCGACUAAUGUUGAAAAAUUAGCGGAUGACUUGUGGAUGGGGGUGAAAGGCCAAUCAAACCGGGAGAUAGCUGGUUCUCCCCGAAAGCUAUUUAGGUAGCGCCUCGUGAAUUCAUCUUCGGGGGUAGAGCACUGUUUCGACUAGGGGGUCAUCCCGACUUACCAACUCGAUGCAAACUGCGAAUACCGAAGAAUGUUAUCACGGGAGACACACGGCGGGUGCUAACGUCCGUCGUGAAGAGGGAAACAACCCAGACCGCCAGCUAAGGUCCCAAAGUCAUGGUUAAGUGGGAAACGAAGUGGGAAGGCUCAGACAGCCAGGAUGUUGGCUUAGAAGCAGCCAUCAUUUAAAGAAAGCGUAAUAGCUCACUGGUCGAGUCGGCCCGCGCGGAAGAUGUAACGGGGCUAAACCAUGCACCGAAGCUGCGGCAGCGACACAAAGUGUUGUUGGGUAGGGGAGCGUUCUGUAAGCCUGCGAAGGUGUACUGUGAGGUAUGCUGGAGGUAUCAGAAGUGCGAAUGCUGACAUAAGUAACGAUAAUGCGGGUGAAAAACCCGCACGCCGGAAGACCAAGGGUUCCUGUCCAACGUUAAUCGGGGCAGGGUGAGUCGACCCCUAAGGCGAGGCUGAAAAGCGUAGUCGAUGGGAAACGGGUUAAUAUUCCCGUACUGGUGGUAACUGCGAUGGGGGAACGGAGAAGGCUAGGUUGUCCGGGCGACGGUCGUCCCGGUUCAAGCAGGUAGGCAGAGUGAUUAGGCAAAUCCGGUCACUUAAUGCUGAGAUGUGAUGACGAACCACCAAGGUGGUGAAGCAAUUGAUGCCCCGCUUCCAGGAAAAGCCUCUAAGCUUCAGGUUACCAACAAUCGUACCCCAAACCGACACAGGUGGUCAGGUAGAGAAUACUCAGGCGCUUGAGAGAACUCGGGUGAAGGAACUAGGCAAAAUGGUGCCGUAACUUCGGGAGAAGGCACGCUGGCGGUAGGUAAAGUCCCUCGCGGACAGAGCUGAAGCCAGUCGAAGAUACCAGCUGGCUGCAACUGUUUAUUAAAAACACAGCACUGUGCAAACACGAAAGUGGACGUAUACGGUGUGACGCCUGCCCGGUGCUGGAAGGUUAAUUGAUGGGGUUAGCGCAAGCGAAGCUCCUGAUCGAAGCCCCAGUAAACGGCGGCCGUAACUAUAACGGUCCUAAGGUAGCGAAAUUCCUUGUCGGGUAAGUUCCGACCUGCACGAAUGGCGUAAUGAUGGCCAGGCUGUCUCCACCCGAGACUCAGUGAAAUUGAACUCGCUGUGAAGAUGCAGUGUACCCGCGGCAAGACGGAAAGACCCCGUGAACCUUUACUAUAGCUUGACACUGAACAUUGAGCCUUGAUGUGUAGGAUAGGUGGGAGGCUUUGAAGUGUGGACGCCAGUCUGCAUGGAGCCAACCUUGAAAUACCACCCUUUAACGUUUGAUGUUCUAACCUAGGCCCAUAAACUGGGUCGGGGACCGUGUCUGGUGGGUAGUUUGACUGGGGCGGUCUCCUCCUAAAGAGUAACGGAGGAGCACGAAGGUUGGCUAAGCAUGGUCGGACAUCAUGCGGUUAGUGCAAAGGCAUAAGCCAGCUUGACUGCGAGAGUGACGGCUCGAGCAGGUACGAAAGUAGGUCUUAGUGAUCCGGUGGUUCUGAAUGGAAGGGCCAUCGCUCAACGGAUAAAAGGUACUCCGGGGAUAACAGGCUGAUACCGCCCAAGAGUUCAUAUCGACGGCGGUGUUUGGCACCUCGAUGUCGGCUCAUCACAUCCUGGGGCUGAAGUAGGUCCCAAGGGUAUGGCUGUUCGCCAUUUAAAGUGGUACGCGAGCUGGGUUUAGAACGUCGUGAGACAGUUCGGUCCCUAUCUGCCGUGGGCGUUGGAAGAUUGAGAGGGGUUGCUCCUAGUACGAGAGGACCGGAGUGAACGCACCACUGGUGUUCGGGUUGUCAUGCCAAUGGCAUUGCCCGGUAGCUAAGUGCGGAAGAGAUAACCGCUGAAAGCAUCUAAGCGGGAAACUUGCCUCGAGAUGAGUCUUCCCUGUCGCUUUAAGCGACCUAAAGGAACGUUUAAGACUAAGACGUUGAUAGGCUGGGUGUGUAAGCGUAGCGAUACGUUGAGCUAACCAGUACUAAUGAACCGUGAGGCUUAACCUG
rnacentral:rRNA from 1 species